CGGUUGAUCCUGCCGGACCCCACUGCUAUCGGGGUAGGACUAAGACAUGCUAGUCGAGCGCCUUCGAACUAUGUUCGAGGCGCGGCGUACAGCUCAGUAACACGUAGUUAACCUACCCUCGGGACGGGGAUAACCCCGGGAAACUGGGGCUAAUACCCGGUGGGUGAAGAAGCCUGGAAUGGUUCUUCACCGAAAGGACGUUGAAAACAUGCUUUUCAACGUCGCCCGAGGAUGGGACUGCGUCCGAUCAGGUUGUUGGUGGGGUAACGGCCCACCAAGCCUAUAACCGGUACGGGCCGUGAGAGCGGGAGCCCGGAGAUGGAAUCUGAGACAAGAUUCUAGGCCCUACGGGGCGCAGCAGUCGCGAAAACUCCACAAUACACGAAAGUGUGAUGGGGCUACCCCGAGUGCCGUCCGCUGAGGACGGCUUUUCUUCAGUGUAAUAAGCUGGAGCAAUAGAGGGAGGGCAAGAUUGGUGUCAGCCGCCGCGGUAAUACCAACUCCCUGAGUGGUGGGGACGAUUAUUGGGCCUAAAGCGUCCGUAGCCGGCUUGGUUAGUCCCCCGUUAAAUCCAACGACCUAAUCGUUGGGCUGCGGGGGAUACUGCCAGGCUAGGAGGCGGGAGAAGCUGACGGUACUCCAAGGGUAGGGGUGAAAUCCUAUAAUCCUUGGGGGACCCCCAGUGGCGAAGGCUGUCAGCUAGAACGCGCUCGACGGUGAGGGACGAAAGCUGGGGGAGCGAACCGGAUUAGAUACCCGGGUAGUCCCAGCUAUAAACGCUGCGGGCUGGGUGUUGGGGUGGCCACGAGCCACCCCAGUGCCGCAGGGAAGCCGUUAAGCCCGCCGCCUGGGGAGUACGGCCGCAAGGCUGAAACUUAAAGGAAUUGGCGGGGGAGCAC
rnacentral:rRNA from 1 species